rnacentral:RNase_P_RNA from 1 species
GAAGUCGGUCAGGCAAUCGCUCUUUGCUAAAACAAAGGGAGGAAAGUCCGGGCUCCACAGGGCAGGGUGCCAGGUAACUCCUGGGAGGCGUGAGCCUACGGAAAGUGCCACAGAAAAUAUACCGCUUAGACUUUUAAGUCUAAGUAAGGGUGAAAUGGUGCGGUAAGAGCGCACCGCACGAUUGGUAACAGUCGUGGCAGGGAAAACCCCACCCGGAGCAAGACCAAAUAGGAAUCCAUUUUACCUUCGGGUAAUAAUGUACGGCCCGUACAGGAUUCGGGUAGGUUGCUUGAGGCAUAUGGUGACGUAUGUCCCAGAUGAAUGGUUGUCCGCGACAGAACCCGGCUUAUCGACCGACUUCUUUU